AUCUGAAAGGCAGUCUUCCAGAAGUGUUAGCAAUUUGUCCCCUGGAUGAAUCAAUUGCUCUUCCUACAAAGCACUUAAGCCUCCCUUUUCAGAGUCUGGGUUUAAAAAGGGAGCCACACUGGAUGCAUGUGGCUCUGUCCCUAGCACUUGGCAAGGGGCUUAGUACAUAGCUGCUGAGUAAAGUCAUUCCUCAUUUGUGGACUUGCCGGGGGCGUGUAGAUGAGUGCUUGCAAAAAGCUACAGGUGUUCUCUCCAGAACAAUGCACCCAUUGCAAAGACAAGCACACAGCCUGAAGGGCACCUUAGGACUUGCAGGCUCUUUGAAAUCCAUCCAUGGUCCUCUAUGGAUCCUCCUCCUGGGCCAGAGUUUAUGUCUGUCAAGUGCCCCUGCAUAUGCAGUAUGCCCAGUACCUGUCAAAUGCCUGUUUCUGUCUUGCUUGAAUACUAGGUGGUGGUGCAGAUUGGGUUGGGAAGGCCCAGGCAUGGAGCCAUGUCUCAUCUUCUGCUGCCUAUCUUGGCGGCCAGGAGCCCAACAAAUGUUGACUUUUUCUUUUUUUCAGCAGUUGGGAAGAUGUGGCAAAACAGGACUUAUAUUCCUUAUGGCAACGAUGGGCUGAGCUGAGUGUCUGCAGCCUGCUUUAGGCAGGGCACGGCUGUGCAGUCUGUCAUCGUCCCUCGUCACUCCCAUCAAUGCUGGCACCAACCUCACUUCUAUUUAUCGCCUCAUCUGAUCGGCUGUUUCUUAUAGCAGAAACGUCUGCAAGGCAUGUGAAUUUGUAACCAUCACCCUCCUCACAGGGUUGCUGUGAGGAUCCGGUGGACUGAUGCAUGCAAAGCCCCGAGCACAGUGCCUGGUACACGGCAAAAGCUGAAUACUUCUGGCCAGCCCUAGGAAUAUUUCCUUGGGAGCAGAGGGCUCUUCUGGAAGCUUCUGGAAGAUGAAUGGCAUCUUCGCACACCUGCUCCGAACAGGCAUUGUUUGGGACUCAGCGCCCUCUGGUGGCUGCUCUCCCCACUCACACUUAGCCUCUUCCUUGGUUGGGGGGACACUUUGAGGCCUCAUUCCUGCCCCUCCCCUUCCUUUCACAUGGAGGAAAGUUCUAGAAUGGGGUGGGAGAAAACUUUCCACUUGUUCUGCAUUUCCUUUACCUCCUUCCUGACCUUAGGUCUGGGCACAGGAGGAGGGGCUUGGAGGUGGAGGCUGGAGCUUCUGGGGGUCCUGGCUGCAUGACUCUAAGGAGGGUGGUGCCUUCGUCCCCACCCAACCCCCACCGCAUCGGCCCAUUCUCCUCCCGAAGCAUCCCUGGGCCACAGGUUCCCAAGGCCACCUCCAGACUGGGCCCGCGAGUGGGGCGGCCCUGGUAGCGUAUCCACAGAAGUUAUUAUGAGGGAGGAGAAACUCCCAGGAGCCUGGAGAGAAUGGCUCGGCACAGCAGAUGCAGCCGUGGUGGCCAUGGAGCUGACCAGCCUCUUGGGAGUGAGCUGGCCACCUGAGCACGGUCCACUCAGCCCACACAAGCAGCAGCACCACCUCGCUGACAGGAGCUUCGUCAAUGCCUGCCGCCUCCUCCUUCCAUAACGAGGGACCACCUAGCAGGGACUUUCACUUUUAUUUCCACAGAGAACCUUGUGGUUAGAAGUCCAAUGGGUCUAGGCUGUGGGAAUCUUCUUAUUAACCACAAACAGAUGUCAAAAGGAUCUUUCCUAAUACUGUAGAUACUGCACUUGGCUCGUGUGGGAGUCCACUGUCUGUGGAAACAUUACUCGUCUAUUUUUCAGGAAGUUCCUGGGGAGAUUCAAGGCAGUAUGGACUCAACCAGCGAGGACGGAAGACAGAGAUGGGACUGCUUUGAGACUGCUUUUGAAAAUGGUCUCCUGCUAGGCGUGGUGGCUCAUGCCUGUAAUCCCAGCACUUUGGGAGGCCGAGGCAGGUGGAUCACCUGAGGUCGGGAGUUUGAGACCAGCCUGACCAACAUGGUGAAACCCCAUCUCUACUAAAAAUACAAAAUUAGCCAGGCAUGGUGGCGCAUGCCUGUAAUCCCAGCUACUCGGGAGGCUGAGACAAGAGAAUCACUUGAACCUGGGAGGCGGA
rnacentral:lncRNA from 1 species